rnacentral:rRNA from 1 species
AGCGAACGCUGGCGGCAGGCCUAACACAUGCAAGUCGAACGAUCCUUCGGGAUAGUGGCGGACGGGUGAGUAACACGUGGGAACGUGCCCUUUGGUUCGGAAUAACUCAGGGAAACUUGAGCUAAUACCGGAUGAGCCCUUCGGGGGAAAGAUUUAUCGCCAUUGGAGCGGCCCGCGUUGGAUUAGCUAGUUGGUGGGGU